rnacentral:rRNA from 1 species
GAUGAACGCUGGCGGCGUGCCUAAUACAUGCAAGUCGAGCGAACAGAUGAGGAGCUUGCUCCUCUGACGUUAGCAGCGGACGGGUGAGUAACACGUGGAUAACCUACCUAUAAGACUGGGAUAACUUCGGGAAACCGGAGCUAAUACCGGAUAAUAUAUUGAACCGCAUGGUUCAAUAGUGAAAGACGGUUUUGCUGUCACUUAUAGAUGGAUCCGCGCCGCAUUAGCUAGUUGGUAAGGUAACGGCUUACCAAGGCAACGAUGCGUAGCCGACCUGAGAGGGUGAUCGGCCACACUGGAACUGAGACACGGUCCAGACUCCUACGGGAGGCAGCAGUAGGGAAUCUUCCGCAAUGGGCGAAAGCCUGACGGAGCAACGCCGCGUGGGUGAUGAAGGUCUUCGGAUCGUAAAACUCUGUUAUUAGGGAAGAACAAAUGUGUAAGUAACUAUGCACGUCUUGACGGUACCUAAUCAGAAAGCCACGGCUAACUACGUG